rnacentral:rRNA from 1 species
CUAGUUGGCGGGGUAAUGGCCCACCAAGGCGAUGAUCAUUAGGGGGUCUGAGAGGAUGAUCCCCCACACUGGUACUGAGAUACGGACCAGACUCCUACGGGAGGCAGCAGUAGGGAAUAUUGGACAAUGGGCGAGAGCCUGAUCCAGCCAUGCCGCGUGCAGGAAGAAGGCCCUCUGGGUUGUAAACUGCUUUUGACUAGGGCCAAAAUGACCAUGCGUGGUAAAUUGAGAGUACUAGUAGAAUAAGCACCGGCUAACUCCGUGCCAGCAGCCGCGGUAAUACGGAGGGUGCAAGCGUUGUCCGGAUUUAUUGGGUUUAAAGGGUGCGUAGGUGGCCUUAUAAGUCAGUGGUGAAAGCCUGCAGCUUAACUGUAGGACUGCCAUUGAUACUGUAGGGCUUGAGUACUGAUGAGGUAGGCGGAAUUGAUAGUGUAGCGGUGAAAUGCAUAGAUAUUAUCAAGAACACCGAUUGCGAAGGCAGCUUACUAAGGAGUUACUGACACUGAGGCACGAAAGCGUGGGGAUCAAACAGGAUUAGAUACCCUGGUAGUCCACGCCAUAAACGAUGAUUACUCGAUGUAUGCGAUAGACAGUAUGCGUCCAAGCGAAAGCGUUAAGUAAUCCACCUGGGGAGUACGACCGCAAGGUUGAAACUCAAAGGAAUUGACG